rnacentral:lncRNA from 1 species
GCCGCCUGUGCGGCCUGGCGUCCCGGCAGUGGCCUCCUCCUGAGCUCGGGGACAGAGACCUCUGCCUCUGAAGGCCCAGGCCUCACAGCCUGCAGAUGCUGCUGCCCGGAAGGGACCCAGCGUGGGGUAGCUCAGCAGGGGCAGGGCUCGGCACUGGGAGAGGAAUAAGAAGAAAUCCCUGAGGCCCAGGAGAAGGUAAAUCCCAG